GACGAACGCUGGCGGCGUGCCUAACACAUGCAAGUCGAGCGGAGUCAGUAAGAGGAAGUUUUCGGAUGGAAUCUUAUUGAUUUAGCGGCGGACGGGUGAGUAACGCGUGAGCGACCAACCUUGCACAGGGGGAUAACGGACCGAAAGGUUCACUAAUACCGCAUGAGACCACGGUGUUGCAUGACACAGGGGUCAAAGGAGCACUCCGGUGCAAGACGGGCUCGCGUCCGAUUAGGUAGUUGGAGGGGUAGCGGCCCACCACGCCUAUGAUCGGUAGCCGACCUGAGAGGGUGAUCGGCCGCAUUGGAACUGAGAUACGGUCCAAACUCCUACGGGAGGCAGCAGUGGGGAAUAUUGGGCAAUGGGGGAAACCCUGACCCAGCAACGCCGCGUGAAGGAAGAAGGUUUUCGGAUUGUAAACUUCUGUCCUUGGUGAAGAGAAGAAGACGGUAGCCAAGGAGGAAGCCCCGGCUAACUACGUGCCAGCAGCCGCGGUAA
rnacentral:rRNA from 1 species